rnacentral:rRNA from 1 species
UACGUAGGGGGCAAGCGUUGUCCGGAUUUAUUGGGCGUAAAGAGCGUGUAGGCGGCCAGACAAGUCUGCUGUGAAAACUCGAGGCUCAACCUCGAGCUGUCGGUGGAAACUGUCUGGCUAGAGUCCGGAAGAGGAGAGUGGAAUUCCUGGUGUAGCGGUGAAAUGCGCAGAUAUCAGGAAGAACACCGGUGGCGAAAGCGCUCUGCUAGGCCGCAACUGACACUGAGGGACGAAAGCUAGGGGAGCGAAUGGG